rnacentral:rRNA from 1 species
ACGGAGAGUUUGAUCCUGGCUCAGGACGAACGCUGGCGGCGUGCUUAACACAUGCAAGUCGAACGAGACCUUUGGUCUAGUGGCGAACGGCGGAGUAAUACAUAAGCAACGUGCCCCGAAGACCGGGAUAGCCCCUCGAAAGAGGGAUUAAUACCGGAUGUGGCCGACGGAGGACAUCCUCCAUCGAUUAAAACGAGUAAUCGGCUUCGGGAGCGGCUUGUGGCCUAUCAGCUAGUUGGCGGGGUAAUGGCCCACCAAGGCUUCGACGGGUAGCGGGUCUGAGAGGAUGAUCCGCCCGACUGGGACUGAGACACGGCCCAGACUCCUACGGGAGGCAGCAGUUGGGAAUCUUGCACAAUGGGCGAAAGCCUGAUGCAGCGACGCCGCGUGGAGGACGAAGUCUUUCGGGAUGUAAACUCCUUUUACCAGGAAAGAUAAUGACGGUACCUGGUGAAUAAGCCCCGGCUAACUACGUGCCAGCAGCCGCGGUAAGACGUAGGGGGCGAGCGUUGUCCGGAUUUACUGGGCGUAAAGAGCGCGUAGGCGGUUAGUUAAGUCAGAUGUGAAAUCUCCAGGGCUCAACCCGGAAACUGCAUUUGAUACUGGCUAACUCGAGUGUCGGAGAGGUAAUUGGAAUUCCUGGUGUAGCGGUGACAUGCAUUGAUAUCAGGAGGAACACCCAUGGCGAAGGCAGAUUACUGGCCGACAACUGACGCUGAGGCGCGAAAGCGUGGGUAGCAAACAGAAUUAGAUACUCUGGUAGUCCACGCCCUAAACGAUGGAUACUAGACGUCAGGGGUAUCGACCCCCCUGGUGUCGCAGCUAACGCAAUAAGUAUCCCGCCUGGGGACUACGGCCGCAAGGUUGAAACUCAAAUGAAUUGACGGGGACCCGCACAAGCGGUGGAGCAUGUGGAUUAAUUCGAUACUAACCGAAGAACCUUACCCAGACUUGACAUCGAUGGCAAGCCCUAGAAAUAGGGCCCUUAGGCCACAAGCCUAACCUGAAGACACCUGUUGCAUGGCUGUCGUCAGCUCGUGCCGUGAGGUGUUUGGUUAAGUCCAGCAACGAGCGCAACCCUCAUCCUGUGUUACCAGCGAGUAAUGUCGGGGACUCACAGGAAACCGCCGGCGUAAGCCGGAGGAAGGUGAGGAUGACGUCAAGUCAGCAUGGCGGUUACGUCUGGGGCUUCACACAUGCUACAAUGGGCGCAACAAAGGGCAGCAAGAUCGCGAGAUGGAGCUAAUCCCAAAAAUACGCCCUCAGUUCAGAUUGCAGUCUGCAACUCGACUGCAUGAAGGCGGAAUCGCUAGUAACCGCAGGUCAGCUAUACUGCGGUGAAUACGUUCCCGGGUCUUGUACACACUGCCCGUCAAGUCACCUGAAUUGUCUGCACCCGAAGUCCGUGGCCUAACCGCAAGGAAGGAGCGGCCGAAGGUGUGGGGAGUAAGGGGGACUAAGUCGUAACAAGGUAGCCGUACCGGAAGGUGUGGCUGGAUCACCUCCUUUAUAGGGAG